GUAUCUACAAGAGUGUAGUGUACUAAGUGUGGUGAGUUUCCAUGGCUAGGGCACAUCUUAUAUCUUCUCCUAUCGUCUGUUCAGUGACAAAUGGUGAUUUUUGGGUCAGGAAACUCUCCUUCAAGAGCAUCUCCUGUGCAAGUUCUGGUGGAUCAAAAACUUCUCAGCACAAAAUAAAAACUCAAAUACAAUAUGAUCCUUUG
rnacentral:sRNA from 1 species